rnacentral:rRNA from 1 species
GACGAACGCUGGCGGCGUGCCUAAUACAUGCAAGUAGAACGCUGAAGAGAGGAGCUUGCUCUUCUUGGAUGAGUUGCGAACGGGUGAGUAACGCGUAGGUAACCUGCCUUGUAGCGGGGGAUAACUAUUGGAAACGAUAGCUAAUACCGCAUAACAAUGGAUGACACAUGUCAUUUAUUUGAAAGGGGCAAUUGCUCCACUACAAGAUGGACCUGCGUUGUAUUAGCUAGUAGGUGAGGUAAUGGCUCACCUAGGCGACGAUACAUAGCCGACCUGAGAGGGUGAUCGGCCACACUGGGACUGAGACACGGCCCAGACUCCUACGGGAGGCAGCAGUAGGGAAUCUUCGGCAAUGGGGGCAACCCUGACCGAGCAACGCCGCGUGAGUGAAGAAGGGUUUCGGAUCGUAAAGAUCUGUUGUAAGUCAAGAACGGGUGUGAGAGUGGAAAGUUCACACUGUGACGGUAGCUUACCAGAAAGGGACGGCUAACUACGUG